AGUCCAGACUUCAUCGGGCUGCAAACCUGACUUUGGGUUAGAUUACCCCUGGACUU
rnacentral:tRNA from 1 species